CGAUCGCACCAUCCCCGCGUAGAGACGGC
rnacentral:sRNA from 1 species